rnacentral:rRNA from 1 species
AGUGAACGCUGGCGGUAGGCCUAACACAUGCAAGUCGAACGGCAGCACAGGAGAGCUUGCUCUCUGGGUGGCGAGUGGCGGACGGGUGAGGAAUACAUCGGAAUCUACUCUGUCGUGGGGGAUAACGUAGGGAAACUUACGCUAAUACCGCAUACGACCUACGGGUGAAAGCAGGGGACCUUCGGGCCUUGCGCGAUUGAAUGAGCCGAGGUCGGAUUAGUUAGUUGGCGGGGUAAAGGCCCACCAAGGCGACGAUCCGUAGCUGGUCCUCGAGGAUGAUCAGCCAAAGUAAAACUGAGACACGGUCCAGACUCCUACGGGAGGCAGCAGUGGGGAAUAUUGGACAAUGGGCGCAAGCCUGAUCCAGCCAUACCGCGUGGGUGAAGAAGGCCUUCGGGUUGUAAAGCCCUUUUGUUGGGAAAGAAAUCCAGCUGGCUAAUACCCGGUUGGGAUGACGGUACCCAAGGAAUAAGCACCGGCUAACUUCGUGCCAGCCGCCGCCGUAA